UUCUUGCAGUUACCUUCUCGUGCCCGGCCCAUGCCUGCGGUUCAGAGGACCCCAACACCCGGGCCCCCACCCGGGCCACCGACCCCGCGGCGCGACCAGAUCCCUGCGCCGGGAGGGCCGGGCAGGCGCCCGCGCUCCGCCCCCGGGCGCCUCCGGGGGGCAGCUCGGGCCCUGGGGUGGCAGACCCACCCCGGGGUGCGGCUGGGGUCGGGUCCGCGCCCUAGGGCUCUUCCCUCGGCUUCCGGAGAAGCGCCGUGCGGAAGGCGUGCUGCGCGCUGGGGCCGCGGCCGGUGCCAGCCUCCAGCCCGCCCUGCGCCUCGCGCCCCCUCCGGGACAGAAUCCAGGGACGCCGGGGACGGAGGCUGCGCGACGAGGGGCGCGAUCUCGGGGCGGCGGCGGCAGUGGAGGGGAGGCCGGAAGGGCGCUGGCGCUCAUCGGAGCACUCUGCAGUCUUGGUGCCCCCUUCUCAACCCGCGGCUCCCCAAACCGCCGCGGCAGAGACCGCGAAAGCAGGGCGCGGCCUUCCGCGCGUCCCUCCCGACCCCCGCGGCGUCCGGAGCGCCUGCGAGCGCGCGGCGCGGUCCCGGGGCGGCGGACACCCGGGCUCCGGCCCCGCGCCGCGGCCGUCGGGGGAGACGGCGCCCCGGGGGAGCCCCGCAGGGCUCGGGCGCUGCCCAAGCGGAGCCCGCGGGCGCCGGCCCGCAGGCAUUGUGCUUGACAGCAAGGAAACAAACGUGACUAAGACCCUGACCCUGCCCUUCAAGGAACUUACGGUUCAGGUGAAGAAAUGAAAGAAGCACAGGACUUGGAAGACAGAUUCAGUGAGAUGGGCUUCUCAUGGUGUUGUCUAAAUUUCUGAGAAGAUAUAUCAGUCCCAAGCAGCAUCAACAACCCCUGCACAGGCUGAAACUCCAAGACUAGAUCAUGAUAAGCUUUGAAGAGUUGUACACAGCAGUUAAGGAACCCCUUCCCUCAGGAAUUCCCACCAGGUUUGACCAUUUUAACAGAAGGCAGGGGGCACUGUUGACAUCCUCGCAGGUCCAUGCAGAUGUCAAAGGAAAAGCCCCAAAAAGGUUCCUGGAUCUCACACCAUGGAAAAACACAGAAGAUGAAAGAAUAGUACUCUGGCCAGAAUUUAAGGAAAUUCUUAACAAAUUAGGUUUUCAUAUGAAGGAAAUGGGGUUUGAAAACUUUGGCAACGGUAACUUUCAUCUCAAGUAAAUUUCACUUACCACAGAACAAAUACUGAUCCAUACCUCUUGGAACUGCAAAGAAAAGAGAGAGGAAGAGGAGAGGAGGGGCCGUGGGAGAGGGAGAGAGAGAACUCAAGCAGACUCCACGCCGAGUGCAGAGCCCCAUGUGGGGCUUGAUCCCAUGACCCUGAGAUCAUGACCUGAGCCGAAACCAAGAGUCGGAUGCCUAACCGACUGAGCCACCCAGGUGUCCCUCAUUUACUUCUUUUUUUUUUUUUUUAAAGAUUUUAUUUAUUCAUUUGAGAGAGAAUGAGAUAGAGAGAGCAUGAGAGGGGGGAGGGUCAGAGGGAGAAGCAGGCUCCCCGCCGAGCCGGGAGCCUGAUGCGGGACUCGAUCCCAGGACUCCGGGAUCAUGACCUGAGCUGAAAGCAGUCGCCCAACCAACUGAGCCACCCAGGCGCCCUCCCCUCUGUAUUAAUGGUUAUAUUACCCAAGAUGCUCCACCUUGAUGACUUUAUUGAUUCUUUUUUUUUUUUAAGAUUUUAUUUAUUUAUUUGAGAGAGAGAAUGAGAUAGAGAGAGAGAGCAUGAGAGGGGGGAGGGUUAGAGGGAGAAGCAGACUCCCCGCUGAGCAGGGAACCCGAUGUAGGACUCGAUCCCUGGACUCCAGGAUCAUGACCUGAGCCGAAGGCAGUCGCUUAACCAACUGAGCCACCUAGGUGCCCCCUCAUUUACUUCUUAACAACCCUGUGAGGGAGGUGUUACGUUCUCCAUUUUAUAAGAAUCUGAGACUCAGAGAGAAAUUAGAAGAACUUACAAAUUGCAGAGUUAGGAUAUAGAUUUGGAGCCUACUCGGUGCUGAACUCCAGAGCUUGUGCUACUGAGCUGUCAUAUUUGUGCUGCUUCACUGUGUUCUUCAUGUCCGAUCUUCACCUCAAGUUGCAAAUGAUGCAUAGCUAUUGGCUAUCAGGAAGGGCAGAAGGAACCGGUUAACAAGCCAAAGGUUUAUGGUCAUUCUCUGAGGGCAAAGCAUCGGCCAUUAGAUGAUGCAUUUCUCCAUAAUUACGUGUGUAGGGGUAUACGUCUCAAAUAAAUAAAUAAAAUCUUUAAAAAAAAGGGGGGGGGCACCUGGGUGGCUCAGUUGGUUGGGGUAUACAUGGUGUGCAUAGAGUGAUAAUUUUUUUUUUAACUCAAAAGCAGGACACGUGGGCUGGUAUAGAAUUUUUAGAGAACUGUUCGUUUUAUUUAUUUUAUUUAUUUAUUUUUUUUUAAAGAUUUUAUUUAUUUAUUUGAGAGAGAGAGCACGAGCAGGGUGAAGGGCAGAGGGAGAAGCAGACUCUCUGCCGAGCAGGGAGCCCGACGCGGGACUCGAUCCCGGGACUCCAGGAUCAUGACCUGAGCCGAAGGCAGUCGCUCAACCGACUGAGCCACCCAGGCGCCCGAGAACUGUUCGUUUUAAAAAUGAAAAGAAUGGACAUAUCUAUUAUGUAUGUGUAUAUGUACACACACACAUAUAUAAAUAAAUAUAUUUUUUAUAUAAAUAAAAAAUUUGCCAUUGCCAGAUGUCUGGUAGAAGUUGAGAAAAUUUUUGAAGCUGAGUCUAGGCUUAACAAAAAGAACACUGUGAUUAAUAGUGUUGUUUGGUUUAGACCCACAGGGGGAAAUGGGUGGCCCAAGUCUCUCACAUUUGCCAUCUUGAGAUAAUGUACUUACAGUUUCAUAAAACUUAUGUAUAAAAUUGCAUGAAUCACUUCUACUAAUGCAGGUAUGAUGAGAACGGAACAGGUGUUCUCAAACGAUAUGUGACUCUUAAAAACCUGGGGAUUCGGGGCACCUGGGUGGCUCAGUCAUUGGGCGUCUGCUUUCGGCUCAGGUCAUGAUCCAGGGUCCUGGGAUGGAGCCCCGCAUCGGGCUCCCUGCUCGGCGGGAAGCCUGCUUCUCCCUCUCCCAUCCCCCUGCUUAUGUUCCCCCUCUCACUGUCUCUCUCUCUGUCAAACAAAUAAAAUCUUUAAAAAAAAAAAAAAACCUGGGGAUUGAGGAUCACAAUGGAUCAUCAAACACCACAAAAGUUUCAGAACAAAACCAGAGUGCCCAGGGUGAAUACCGGAAAGAGAAUCUUCUGGUUGAGUCAGAGUCAGCUAGACUAGAAAAUCCCCCCUCUGUUCCCCUGAGAUGCACUUUUGCCCUGGAGCCUCAUUAAUUCUUGCUGCCACCGCCACACCAGCAUAAGGACUGCUCGCCGCAGCGGUGGCCUCACGGUCCUCCUGUGAUUGUCUGUGGCACCACCGAGACCAAAGAGGCUGUCCAAGGAGACCUCCCCAAAGGCCAGUGGAUUAAAACUGGAAAUUAAAUAAGAUGCCGUCUUCCUAGAAACAUCGCCAAAGGCAAGGGAAGCAAGGGCAAAAAUGAACUAUUGGGACUUCAUCAAGAUAAAAAGCUUUUGCACAGCAAAGGAAACAGUCAACAAAACCAAAGGACAACUGACAGAAUGGGAGAAGAUAUUUGCCAAUGACAUAUCAGAUAAAGGGCUAGUAUCCAAAAUCUAUAAAGAACUCAUCAAACUCAACACCCAAAGAACAAAGAAUCCAAUCAAGAAAUGGGCAGAAGACAUGAACAGACAUUUUUCCAAAGAAGACAUCCAAAUGGCCAACAGACACAUGAAAAAGCGCUCAAUAUCGCUCGGCAUCAGGGAAAUCCAAAUCAAAACCUCCAUGAGAUACCACCUCACACCAGUCAGAAUGGCUAAAAUUAACAAGUCAGGAAACGACAGAUGUUGGCGGGGAUGCGGAGAAAGGGGAACCCUCCUACAUUGUUGGUGGGAAUGCAAGCUGGUGCAGCCACUCUGGAAAACUGUAUGGAGGUUCCUCAAAAAGUUGAAAAUAGAGCUACCAUAUGAUCCAGCAAUUGCACUACUGGGUAUUUACCCCAAAGAUACAAAAGUAGGGAUCCGAAAGGGUACGUGCACCCCGAUGUUUAUAGCAGCAAUGUCCACAAUAGCCAAACUGUGGAAAGAGCCAAGAUGUCCAUCGACAGAUGAAUGGAUAAAGAAGAAGUGGUAUAUAUAUACAAUGGAAUAUUAUGCAGCCAUCAAAAGGAAUGAGAUCUUGCCGUUUGCAACGACGUGGAUGGAACUGGAGGGUAUUAUGUUGAGUGAAAUAAGUCAAACAGAGAAAGACAUGUAUCAUAUGAUCUCACUGAUAUGAGGAAUUCUUAAUCGCAGGAAACAAACUGAGGGUUGCU